GUCUGAUUGCCCUCCAUCCUAAAUGCAAGGGGAUUUGUGUGUGUGUAUAUGUGUGUGUGUGUGUGUUUGCAUGCACUGCCUUUUAUGUCUUCUCCACAAUAGGAUAAAAAGUAGAAUAUCAAAUCUUAUCUAUUUGUGUCAUUUAAUCCCUUUGACUUGGCCAAAAUUCUGAGUUACUACUUUCUUCUUAGCAGUCCUCCCUUCCACGUUGUUCUCCUUGCUGCCUGUGGUCUGGUUAGGAAUGCAUGUUCUGCUUCACCUCUAUUAGCAGAACCUGGAACCUGUAUGUCCCACUAAGAAAGAGGCAGGGGCUACCAUGUCAAAGUUGUAUUAUUUUGAUUUUAGAAAAGGAUUUAUUGGUUUGCCUAUUCCUCCCUCUUUCUAAAGUGAACUAGAGUCUACUUCCUUUUUUUUUAGUUGUAAAUAGACACAUUACAUUUAUUUUGUUUAUUUAUUUUUAUGUGAUGCUGAGGAUCAAACCCAAUGCCUCACACGUACAAGCAAGCACUCUACCACUGAGCCACAACCCCAGCCCCUGGAGUCUACCUCCAAUGAGAACCUGUGUUAUAUACAUUUUUCCCACCUUUUUUGGGGGGGGUCUGUUUUUGCUUUUUUAUUAUUUAUAUUUAUAAAUUUUUAGGCCCUUGGAGCCAAAAAAUUCAACACUUAGUUGGCUUUUUACAGAAACGGUUUGCAAAACCACACCUAGUUUUAUCUUUUUCAAGAUCAUCCACAAUUUCUUUUUAAAAUAUCUUUAUUGAGAUAAAAUCCACGUAUCACAUAAUGUACUCAUUUAAAAUCUACAAUCCAGCGGUUUUUAAUCAUGAUUUCUUUGGAAAUUUAUGUGUGUGUGUGUGGUGUGUGUGUGUGUGCAUGUGUGUGUUUAAAGAAUCUAUAAUUCAUCGCUUCUCGGCCUUUUGGCUAAGAUCAAGUGAAGAAUCUAUAAUUCUCCAGGCACUCCAGGCACACUUGUACACAUGCCUGUAAUCUCAGCAGCUCAGGAGGCUGAGGCAGAAAGAUUGCAAGUUCAAAGCCAACCUCAGCAACUUAGCAAUGAAAGGCGAGUGACUCACCUGAGAUGGAAAUUCAACCAAGAGAGUUUAUUGGGGGGCUGCCUGAGGGGGAAGAAAUCGAGAGGAAGAGUGCAGUAGCCUGAGCCUGCAAGCUUCAGCUUAAGAAAGGUUACUUAGGCGACUUGGUGGGUGCUGAUUGGCAGGGUGACUUAGGAACAGGCGAGGGGACACUGUGUCCUGCGGGGAUUGGUCGAGAAAACAUUUGACUUUGGCGCCCUUCAGUGAAGGAGUGAGUGGUGGGGGUAAGGAAUUACAUGAUAUUCUUCUCAAGAGAUAGAAACUUAAAUUUAGCAGGGAGAAACCUAAAGGCAAGGUCUCCCACACACCCAACAUGCAAG
rnacentral:lncRNA from 1 species